AGAAGCUUAGGAUAAACUAAACCGAGGGCCUUCAAAGCCCUAAAUAGGGACUAAAACCCUAGCUUCUG
rnacentral:tRNA from 1 species